CCUUGGCUUAAUUUGACUCAACAAGGGAUACCUCACCCGGCCCGGACACGGAAAGGAUUGACAGAUUGAUAGCUCUUUCUCGAUUCUGUGGGUGGUGGUGCAUGGCCGUUCUUAGUUGGUGGAGCGAUUUGUCUGGUUCAUUCCGAUAACGAACGAGACUCCGGCUUGGUAAAUAGUUACGCAGCCCUGUGCGGUCGGCGUUCAACUUCUUAGAGGGACAAGUGGCAUUCAGCCACGCGAGAUGGAGCAAUAAAACAGGUCUGUGAUGCCCUUAGAUGUCCGGGGCUGCACGCGCACCACAGUGGGCAGAUCAGCAGAGCCCCCGUCUGAAC